rnacentral:misc_RNA from 1 species
CUUUUCAAUAACAUAAUCCGAUAAUUAACGUCAGCGGGAUAUAUUAUUAGGUCUCAUUAUACAACUUUGCACGCGAAGAAGACGGUGUGUAAUACCUCCGGCAUGUCUGUGUGUAUGUAUUAAUUCACGCCUCACAGCGACUGCUCGACGAGUCUUUCCACCUUCUAAAAUGCGACGAAAAUAGGUUAACCGUCGCUUUCAACCAACCUUCGGACGAGCCGCAAAUUUUCCGUCCCCCUUAACAAACCGAACUCUGUUCCAAUCUUCGUCCAAAGAUCUCCCAACACCGGCUAAGCAGGCAAUCGCCGGAGAUUCAUCCCGGAUAUGAAAAGACGCUCGACAAGUAGUAACAGCGUUUCUCAGGCCAGACACGUCCAUGCAUACAUACGACUGGAUUCAAUGGGACGCGUAUGCAGAUGGAGAUUAUGGAAGAUGGAAAUUUAGUAGAUAGAGUUCGAAUAUUGCUCCAAAGAGACAUGAAGUACUAUCAGGAAAAGCAGAUGGUGUUGAGUGAACCUAUAUGCGUAGGGAUAAGUGGUGGAAAACUGGACUUUCCAAGACACGCUUCCUUUGCGUCAACUAAGAUUGUCGCAUGGUGGGAAGCAGAAUUUACUACAACAUUUAAAGAGUCAUCUGGACUCAGUUUUACAUCUAAAGAACACACGGAAGCAGCUGAUUGCACGGAAGUAGUCAAGCAUUCAGAGCCGUCCGAGUUUGUUGCCAUGAUAGUUGACACAUCGGAACAACUUUUAGAACACCUGCACACCUUGACUCAGGAAGCUUUAGAUCAUGCUGAUUUAACUGUCCUAACGGCUACGUUGGGGGCCGCAGCUCUAGUACGAAAUUGUUUAUGGAAUUACAACAAAAAAGUAAAAACAGUGGUUUCAGCACAGGCAUGCAGCAAACUACACAAAUGGUUCAAAUCGUAUCAAGAAAUGGCCGAAGCACUGGCUGAGAGACUACUCGAUCUACAUUGCCGACUAAUUUCAUUGUAUAUUUUAACUGAAGCCAAUUCCCUCGACUGGCAAUCCAAUCAGCCAUUCUUUGAAAAAGAACGCUGUUCUUAUGUGAUUCAAAUGUGGUGGCUGUAUAUGCAAGGUACACAUAAUACUCAGCAGAACGCCAGAGUCCUUGUGAUGACUUUCAGCAUAUCCAUUAUUUUAGGCACAAAAGAAGACUUGUGGAACACAGUUCCUCCAAAAAUGGCGCAGCGCGUUUUUUCAGGAAUGUUGGACGAGUCCCUGACUAUCCUUACCGUCCGCUUUGUUCACGGUCGUCCCAGUCUUGCUCGCUGUCAACAAUUUUGGGCAGAUGUUUUCAACGUUUUGUGUUGCACGGCAAACUUGUCGCUAGCCACAUUUGUCAAUGCAAAUGAACUGGUCGGGUUCAAUGUGACCAGAUUGUCAAUUAUUUCAAGAGAUAUACAUGCAAAGUGCGGAGAAUUGCUAGUUUCUCUGUUACUAAGAGGAACGCCAUUAAACAUACUAUAUCAGGUUCUCCGCAAUGGUUUAGAAAACUUGAACAUAUUGUUGCCACGUCGAGGGCCUGCCCCAUGGCUCAUCAUGAGUAGCCCACAUCUACUGCCACCUUCAUCGGAAAAUAUUGAUAAUUUAAAACAACUAGCUGAUGGCCCUUCGAUAGCGCUUGAGAUAAAAAUACUCAGAGCACAACCGCAGCCUGAUUGGGGUCAGUUGAUGAAGAUCUUACUGAUGCGGGAACAUAAAAUAUCAGCGCUUCUAUUUCAAGAAUUUGUCAAACAGAGCAAUGGCUAUAAAUCUGAUGACAGUUUUACUAGAAAAGAAAAGAGCAAAGUUGAUGCAAAAGAACAGGAGGGUUGCGGAGGUUUUUUGUGCUCAGGACAAACCUGCUCUCGCCCUGCUUGUAGUCCAGCUUUGUGGGCUUACAGCCUUACCUAUAUCUCAAUAAUUGCAGACAUGGAUGCGAUGAUUGUUAUUAUUCCAGCACUGCUACAAGAUUCUGACUGGUCCAACUGCUUAGACAGACAUCAGGUUUGGAAUCAAAUCAGACCGCCAUGGCUACACGCUCUUAUUACACCUCUGUAUCCCAUCAUGGUACCCAUUAUCACAACUCUGCUGGACGCAAUCAAGACAGGAGCUAGUAUUUACCAAACAAUGUCACUGGCCCUCGCCUGCUUCAGCGAAUUGUACAUUUGCGCACCGGCAGGCUUACUGCGUACAGCUUCGAGGAUAAACAAUAAUAUUCCUGCGAACUGCCACCCCAUAGGUGGUUCAGUCCUUCUCCAAAUCAUGUGCGCUGCUCUGUACACUAAUUUCUCAAAAGUGAGAGCUGACCCCAGUACUAAUUCUACGGCAUCUACUUCGUCGAACGAACCUCAGUUGGUUGCUGGUCUUGAUCGUAAUGAUACUGUUUCCUUGGCGAUUGCUUUAGGUGAAGCUAUCUGCAGCAUCGAUGAAGAUGAUAAGCAUACACUGCAAAUAAAUUCACUUCUCAGUUCAAUCAACGAGAGGUAAAAUUAACUCACAUCUGUUCGAUAUCAGCAUCAAGCUGUUGAAUUAUCAAAUCAUAACACUGGCUAGAAUCUGAUGAUCUAAGAUGGCCCGGGAUAGAUCCUGAAGGUGAUACAUGAAUACGUGGUCCAUGGCUCUGAUUGGAUAUUAAAUUGUUUGGGAAUUGAAGAAACGUCGACAAUGACUGAGGCUCCAAAG